CUGGCUCAGGAUGAACGCUAGCGGCAGGCUUAACACAUGCAAGGUCGAGGGGCAGCGCGCGGGUAGCAAUACCUGUGGCGGCGACCGGCGCAAGGGUGCGUAACGCGUGAGCAACAUGCCCGUAUCAGGGGGAUAAGCGAUGGAAACGUCGUCUAAUACCGCAUAACAACAGGGAAGACAUCUUCCUUGUUUGAAAGAUUCGUCGGAUACGGAUUGGCUCGCGAGACAUUAGCUAGACGGCGGGGUAACGGCCCACCGUGGCGACGAUGUCUAGGGGUUCUGAGAGGAAGGUCCCCCACACUGGAACUGAGACACGGUCCAGACUCCUACGGGAGGCAGCAGUGAGGAAUAUUGGACAAUGGUCGGAAGACUGAUCCAGCCAUGCCGCGUGAAGGCCAGACGGUCCUAUGGAUUGUAAACUUCUUUUGUACGGGAGCAAUAAGGAUCACGCGUGGUCCGAUGAGAGUACCGUACGAAUAAGCAUCGGCUAACUCCGUGCCAGCCGCCGC
rnacentral:rRNA from 1 species